GGCACGGCCGCGCGAAAAUCAGUGCAAUUCUCACACGGCCGCGCGAGAAUCGCCGAAACCUUCUGCCCAAUUUCUGCUAUUGGCACGGCCGUCCCAUUGUUAGGUGUAAAUUUGGGACGGCCGUCCCGUGCCAAUUUCUUCAGAUUUUUGAUUAUUUCACUUUUGGCCCAUAUUUUCUCCAAAAUUGCAGUUUUGACCCCAAAUUUUUCCAAUUCUUCAAUUUAUACCUAAAAUACAAUAAAUAAACUUUUUAAGCACCAAUUAUCGUUAAAUCACACCAAAAGCUCAAAUAAAAAGGUACGAUAAAGUAUAAAAAUAUAUACUUAACACACCCCCAAACUUGAUCUUUUGUUUGUCCUCAAGCAAAAACUAGCAACUUUCACAGCAACACUCUCAAUAAAUGCCUCUCAUCACAUAGAUUAAUGGUCAACUUUCAUUUUUUCAGAACUUGCAAUUAUCAUGACAAUUCUCAAAAAUUUACAAGCUCGUAAUUCAAAGAUACGUAUUCACUCACCAUUGCUAAAAACCACAAACCAUGCUAUCGCUUCAAGUAUCCCAUAUUUGUACAUUAAAAAUAGAGAAAAUUUAUACUUACAUAAUAAUAUUCAACUCCAAAGACUCACCAAAUUUCUUUACUCGGCUAGUAUCAAAUAAUUGAGCUAUUGGGAUCAUUGGGACUUUUUGGCUUUCAAACGUUGGGCUUUUUGGUUCGAGGUAGGAGAUAUGGGUAUAGGUGGCUAUGCUUCUUGAAUUGAGGUGAUUACGCCAAAUUUUGAAAGAUAGGCGUUUGAAACAAUAAAUUCACCUCUAAGGACUUUUUAAUCAACUCGAUUCUUAAGAGUUCAAAAGUCUCCACUUUUGCUCUUAACACAAUGGAUCGAGCUUUCAAAACAAUUCAACAACUAGUCCUUACUUCCCCUUAUAGUCUCUUCUACUUCUUUUUCUUUCUCCUUUUUUUUUUUUUUUUUUUUUUCGAAGAAGAAGGACCUUAUAAAAAAAUUUCGACCGAACUCCAAGGGUUAAUUUUUCAAAAAUCUCCACUUAUUCUACCUUAUACACAUUGGCUAAAAGAAAGAACACCGUUUCUCCAAGGCUCAAUCAAGGUUCGAAUGAUAAAAAUUUAAAGGUAGGCUUGAAAGGCUCAAACGGUUCAAAGAUGGCCCAAAUCACUUCCCAAAUUGCUCAACAAUUUAAUAUUUCACUUUGUAAAUUCAUAAGACAAGUUCUAAAACCGAAUAGCAUAUGGUAUAACAUAAAUUAACUCAAAUUUUAAAACACACAAAACUUUCAACCAAAGCAACGCAUAAUUCGAGAUUCCUAACAAUAACUCCUUCUUACGACACUUUGAAUCAAAAGCUCACCAAAAUUUGAUCAAAAUCAAGAUAAAGCAAGCAAUUUCAUCAUUAAACAUCGACCAUCUUUCAUCAUCAUGAUUCAUCGAAGCAUUUAUCUCAAACACAUUUUUUUUUUCGAAAGCAAUAAAUAAACUAAAACAACUAAAAUAAAAAAAAAUCCUAAGGCAUGCAAACUAAAAAAUUAAAGCACAUAAAAACAAGCACAAUUUUUCACCCCCAAACUUAAAAUUUACAUUGCCCUCAAUGUAAUUAGCAUGAAUUUCAAGGAUAGAAUACACCUGAAUAAGUCGUUUUGGCCAUGUCCGGGCUGCUCUUCCACCCUCGCCUUUAUUAUGCUUCUGUUGAAGUUCGCACGGCCGUAUGAGAUUUUUGAACUGUUUUCCGCACGGCCGUGCGAAACUUGAAUUCUGGGCAGUAGCCUAUUGUUUCUCGGACGGUCGUGCGAGAAUUCAGUGUAAAUUCCGCACGGCCGCGCCCCUUCUCAAUUUUGGGCAGUAGCCUCUCCGAUUUUCCACACGGCCGUGCUGGAUUCAAGCCUUUUUUUUGUGCGGCCGUGUGAAGUGCGAAAUUGCACUUUGACCCCUGAAAAUAAAAAAAAUGCUUAUUUAAUUAGCUUGCAUGCUUAUAAAAUAAAUAAAUAAAUAAAAUAAAACAAGAAACAUAAAUAAAUAAAUAAAAACGAAAAUCUCGGGUUGCCUCCCGAGAAGCGCUAAGUUUAUAGUCUUCAGCCAUACUUUGUUCUUGCUCUUCAAUUCCUUAGCUUUUGAACCCAUCUCCGUACAUCCUUUUGGAGAAAGUCUUGAAUAAAUGGGUUGAUCCGAUUCCUCUUUCGACUGGUUCGCUUAGGAAUGCCCUUGAAUUUAUUCUUCUUGAUGUCAUGAGGCUUUCCAACAUCGUCUUUUAUCACGGUGUUUUGAGUUGGUGUUGUAACCAACUCAACCUUUUUCUUUUGUUCUCCUACAUGCAUAUUAGUAUCCACAAAAAAAUUUAAAUCAUGUAAUUUAACAGGAAAAAGUUUAGAAUCACUUACCUCAUCAAGAAGAUAACAUCCAUUAGCCGUAAUAGGCUUUUCAUCCACCCGGUACACCUUGAAGAUCACUGUUUCUUCCCCCACACUCAUUCUUAGCUCUCUCUUUCCUACAUCAAUAAUUGAUCUACCGGUUGCUAAGAAGGGGCGUCCUAAGAUAAGGGGAAUAUUUUCAUCUUCCUCUAUGUCUAGUACUAGAAAAUCGGCCGGGAGUAUGAACUUAUCUACCUUGACCAAUACAUCUUCAACUAUACCUAAAGGGUGAGUAAAAGAUCUAUCGGCUAGCUGCAAGGUCACGGAAGUGGGCUUAAUCUCUCCUAAAUUCAACUUCUCAUAAAUUGAUAAAGGCAUUAAAUUUACGCUCGCCCCUUGAUCACACAACGCCCGCCCAAAAUACCUAGUACCUAUUGUGCAUGGAAUGGUACAACUGCCCGGGUCUCUAAGCUUUGGUGGAAUUUUAUUUGCAAGGAUAGCACUACUUUGCUCAUUGAGGUCUACGAUUGCUGCACACUCCGGAAGCCUCAUCUUCUUCGAUACAAGUUCCUUUAUAAACUUAACCUAAUUCGGCAUAUGCUUAAGUGCCUCAACAAAAGGAAUAUUAACAUGCAACUUUUUAAGAUAAUCCAAAAAUGACUGAAAUUGCAUAUCAAGCUUAGAGUUUUGAAAACGUUGAGGGAAAGGUACCUUGGGAGUAGAUUCACUUACUGCGAUCUUUGUGUUGCUUGGCCCGACCUCGGUCUUUUCUUUAGGCUCCUCUUCAAUAGGCGGUGGUGCAACGGAGUUUUUAGGACCUUCCUCUAAUUGCCUCCCAUUUCGCAAACUUACUGCAUUGCACUGCUCGAUGUUGCUCUUUCGAGGAUCUUCCGUUUUCGACGGUAGUGAUCCCGACGGCCUCGCGUUUAGUUGGGUUGCAAGUUGCCCCAUUUUUCUCUCCAGGUUCCGAAUGGAUUCUUGAGUCGACGUCAUGAAUUUUUCUAAGAUGUCAGCGAGGUCAACUCCUUGGGCCGGAGUUUGAGGUGGAUUUUGCCUUUGUCCUUGCUGAUUUCCUCCCCAUCCAAAGUUGGGGUGAUCUUUCCAUCCCGGAUUAUAGGUGUUGGAGUACGGGUUCCUUUGUUGUCGGUUGGUGUCAUUCACGUAAUUUAGAGACUCCGUUUCUUCUAAGCACUGGUUGGGACCGUUGAUUGCAUGGACUUGCUGAGUCUGCAAAGCUGCCACUUGCUUUGAUAGCUUUUCUAACCGGGCGGUGAUUGCUGUGACCCCGUCUAACUCCAAAAUUCCUCCCGUCUUGACAACUCCGCUAUUUGACCGGUCCGAUGCCCGUAUGUAUUUGUUCCUUGCGAUUCGCUCCAAAAGUUCGUAGGCUUCGUCAUAGGUCAAGCUCAUGAACAUACCGCCAGCUGCUGAAUCGAGCACCGUUCUCGAAUUAUCUUGCAAUCCAUCAUAAAAUAUUUGAAGUUGCCGCCACUCUUGAAGUCCGUGAUUCGGGCACCUCCUUACUAGCUGCUUGAACCGCUCCCACGUCUCGAAUAAUGCUUCACCGGCUUCUUGUAUGAAGUUUUGAAUUUCUCUCCGGAUUCUCUCAGUUUUUGUUGGGGAGUUGUAUGCGUUCAUGAAAAGUUGUGCUAGCUGGGCCCAAGACGAGAUGGAGUGCGGUGCGCGAGUUUGUAACCAUUCUCGGGCUGCUCCUUGUAAAGAGUGCUUGAACAGGCGGAGUUGCAGUGCUUCGGGCGAUACUCCGUUCAUGUUGUGCGAGUCGCACGUCUCGAGAAAAUUGACCAAGUGGAGAUGUGGAUCUUCGUGAGCUAAUCCGCUUAACAACCCAUUGUUUUGGAGCAUAGUAAGGAGUCCCACUCGAAUUUCGAAAUUGUUAGCUUCAAUGGGGGGCUGCUGGAUGCUUGAUUGAAACCCAUUGAGUGUUGGAACGGUGUACUCAUGCAAUGCUCGUUGACGAGGUGGUGGAUUAAUUAGCUGAAGUUGCUCUUGCUAGUUGACGAUAUUUCCUGCCGCAUUCGGUAGGCGCCCUUGGUCAUCUCCCCUACAAUUAUUCUCUUCUUCCAUUAUCGCAUAAAAAGUAGCUAAAAAAAAUAAUAAAAUAAAAUAAAUAAAACGGCUGAAGUAAGAAAAGUUGCUCAAAUUUAAUAUUAGAAUAAAUAGAUAAUUUAGCCGUAUUCCCCGGCAACGGUGCCAAAAAACAUGUUGGGUGCUAAAUACCUAACACGCAAGUGCACGUAUCGCAAACAAGUAGUAAAAGUGGACUCGUGAGAGUCAGAUGUCGAUCCCACAGGGAAUACUCAAAUUAUCUAAUCCUAAGUACCAAAUUCUAACAAUUAUGAUUUUUAUCCAGCCUACGCAAAGUUGUCAAAUUUAAUCAACUAAAUAAUUAAACUAAUUAUGAAAGCAAUAAAACACGAGAAAAUAUCAAUAAAAACGGACCUAGAAUUUUAUCUUCCCUCUAUGCAAGAAUUGCUCACCCAAAACCCCUCAAUUAUGCAAUAUAUGAUUCAUGAUUAUUAACCCGAGACACUAAUUUACUCAUAACCCGCUGUCGCGUGUAUUAUGAGUCUAUUAUUCAUAAACGGUUCACUAUAUGUCUAUGCAAACAAAUUAUGAAUAAAGCAUUAACUAACAAGUCUCGCAAAUGGCUACCUAAGGUGAUAUCUGUAUGUCUACGACACCACAUGCAAUUGACACACUCAUCCGGUGAAAACUACUCGAAGGCUCUUAUACUUACCGUCUAAUUAUCAAAAUAGCUCUGUCGAGUCAAUCCCAAUAAUCACAGAUAAAGCACAUAAAUUGAUCAAGUUCAUGCACUAACAAUCAUAACAAGUAUAAGAAAUAAUCAUAAAAUCAUAAUUGCAUAAUCUCAAGAAAACGGGUUCACCGUCCCCACAUAGGGUUCCAACAAAAUCCUAGAUUAAAAACUUAGCUACUCAUAACGAAGAACAUAAUAAAAGUAAUAAAAGUCAUAGAUUAAGAAAAGAUAGGUGAAAGAAGAAUUAUGAUGAAGAGUUGUCAAUUCUCCGUCUUCGAUUCUUCGUUCUCUCGCUCCUCUCGCUCCAAGGUUGUGUCAAAAGUCCUCUAAUUCGUGCUUGGUUUGGGCUUAAAUAGAUGUCCCAACUUGGUAGAUGAUUUUAGGUUUCCUUGUGUGAUUAAAAGUCCAAAAUUGUCUCCAGCGGGUGUUGGCACGGACGCGCGAGAAUCAGUGCAAUUCUCACACGGCCGCGCGAGAAUCGCUGAAACCUUCUGCCCAAUUUCUGCUAUUGGCACGGCCGUCCCAUUUUUAGGUGUAAAUUUGGGACGGCCGUCCCGUGCCAAUUUCUUCAGAUUUUUGAUUAUUUCACUUUUGGCCCAUAUUUUCUCCAAAAUUGCAGUUUUGACCCCAAACUUUUCCAAUUCUUCAAUUUAUACCUAAAAUAUAAUAAAUAAACUUUUUAAGCACCAAUUAUCGUUAAAUCACACCAAAAGCUCAAAUAAAAA
rnacentral:lncRNA from 1 species